GGGUUACUCCUUUGCGCUUUCAGCGCUCAAUUUGAUAAAGAUUCGCACCUCUAUCAAACCGGGUAACCCCACCUUUGGCAAGGCCUACUGUCAGAUUAAAUCUGAACUACUACAAAUGAACAGAUACUUAGUCCAGCUCGACUUCAUCUCCUUUAUAAAAUUCAACUCGUUGUCGUUCUGUUGCGCCAAUACGCUGUUU
rnacentral:sRNA from 21 species